GCCUGCCGGCUGCAGACUCCAGGCGUGGUUCCCGCCCUGCAGGCUGUCCUGCUCCCACAGACCCAGCGCCCAGUGGGCGGCUGAACAGGAUGCUCCCCUCAGUGUGGGCCUGGGCAACACCAGCCUGGGCAGCAGUGGAAGCGUGUACAGGGAUGACCUGCGAGGAGGCCCGAGACUCGGCGGCCCGCUGGCCCCAGCUUAGGUGCUGGUACAGCGCUGUGUAUCCAUGACAUGCCACUGUUGGAGGCCCUGGAGUGCACCAAGAUGGCCCAGGGCAGUCGGUUCUCAUUUUCCUGGAGGCCUGCAUUGUCGCCUCCUGCCCGGAGGGUCUCAUCUGCGGUUGGACCCGGACAAGACUGUCACAGGAGAGGAGGCCCAGACAGGAGAAGGAAACUGGUCCACGUCACCCAGCAAGUCGGUGGUAGAGGGCAUCUCCUCCCAAACCAGGCUUGCACAGUGAAAAGAAGGACUUUGAGACCAAGAUAAAGGACAAGACAGACUACACAAGCGAGAUGUUUCAUCUGCUUGUCAAAGAUUAGCUCUACAGUCUGCAGUUCUUUAAAUACUACUUCAGCGAGUGUUGUGAUUUUUUUUGUCAAACCCAUUUGUAAUGUUAUAUGGUGCUUAGAAGACAGA
rnacentral:lncRNA from 1 species